GCCUCGGUGGUGGAAUAGGUAGACACGUGGGACUUAAAAUCCCAUGCCCCUUAAAGGCGUGCCGGUUCGACUCCGGCCCGAGGUACCA
rnacentral:tRNA from 1 species